UACGUAGGGAGCAAGCGUUGUCCGGAAUCAUUGGGCGUAAAGCGCGCGUAGGCGGCCUCGUAAGUCCGCUGUAAAAGUCACAGGCUCAACCUAUGAACGCCGGUGGAUACUGUGAGGCUAGAGUCCGGAAGAGGCGAGUGGAACUCCUGGUGUAGCGGUGGAAUGCGCAGAUAUCAGGAAGAACACCAACGGCGAAGGCAGCUCGCUGGGACGGUACUGACGCUGAGGCGCGAAAGCGUGGGGAGCAAACAGG
rnacentral:rRNA from 1 species